UACGUAGGCAGCAAGCGUUGUUCGGAGUUACUGGGCGUAAAGGGUGCGUAGGCGGCUUUUUAAGUUUGGUGUGAAAUCUCCCGGCUCAACUGGGAGGGUGCGCCGAAUACUGAGAGGCUAGAGUGCGGGAGAGGAAAGUGGAAUUCCUGGUGUAGCGGUGAAAUGCGUAGAUAUCAGGAGGAACACCGGUGGUGUAAACGGCUUUCUGGACCGUAACUGACGCUGUAGCGCGAAAGCGUGGGGAGCGAACCGG
rnacentral:rRNA from 1 species